GAUGAACGCUGGCGGCGUGCUUAACACAUGCAAGUCGAGCGAGAAGUUUUGAAAAGAUUCUUCGGAUGAAAUUUAAAAUGGAAAGCGGCGGACGGGUGAGUAACGCGUAGGCAACCUGCCCCAUACAAAGGGAUAGCAUUUGGAAACGAAUAUUAAUACCUUAUGAAACUUAACUAGUGCAUGCUAGGUAGGUCAAAGAUUUAUCGGUAUGGGAUGGGCCUGCGUCUGAUUAGCUAGUUGGUGAGGUAACGGCUCACCAAGGCGACGAUCAGUAGCCGACCUGAGAGGGUGAACGGCCACAUUGGAACUGAGACACGGUCCAAACUCCUACGGGAGGCAGCAGUGGGGAAUAUUGCACAAUGGGGGAAACCCGGAUGCAGCAACGCCGCGUGAACGAUGAAGGCCUUUGGGUCGUAAAGUUCUGUUCUAGGUGAUGAAAACUGACAGUAACCUAGGAGAAAGCCCCGGCUAACUCCGUG
rnacentral:rRNA from 1 species